rnacentral:rRNA from 1 species
AUGCCCAUUGGUGUUCCAAAAGUACCUUACCGGAUUCCCGGAGAUGAAGAAGCGACUUGGGUUGACUUAUACAAUGUUAUGUAUCGAGAAAGGACACUUUUUUUAGUUCACUGCCCUAUACAUAGAAAGAAGUGCUUUUCCACCGGUAUCAACAUUCUAUCUAGAAUCAGUAGCGAUAAUUGUUGUAUUGUGAGCCAGCCCCAUAAGACACUACGCACCUCCAAAUUCUAUAUGAUUUUUCCAAUCAUUUCAUUUAUACGACCUGCAAAUAAGAUAAGAUCUUGGCUCGCCCUACAAAAAACAACUAUAUGCCCUAUAAACUUGCUUGCUUCUUCGAAUCUCGAAAUAACAUAUAGAAAGUGUUUCUGUGAUGAGACCAUUCUCGAUCGAUAA